CUCAAUAUGUAAAAAAAAAAAAAAAAUCAAAUAACCAACCAAGAAAUAUUUAGUUACUAACCUUAUCACAUGAAUGCAGGCCAAUAGGUUUUGUGGAUAAACUCUAAGAUUCUAGUAAACAUGUGGGCAAACACAUGGCUGGUGGCCGCAGCAUAAGACCGACCAUCCUUUUUAAAGCAUUAGUUCUACUCCUGUAAAUCUCACAAGGAAUUACCUUACCCGCAGGCAUGGCAAGCCUCAAUGACAGCUGGGGCAUAUUUGGUUUUAUUGGUAAAAAAUUAGAAAUUAUCAAAACACUCAUUGAGAAUAAUUACAUACACUAUGGCAUGCCCCCUUGCAUGGCACUGUAAAGGAUAGUGACUAUCAGUGAUUAUAAAUUUACAGUUAUAAAUUAUAACACUAUAAAUGGUUAUUAAGACAAUUGUGAAGACAGAAAAGGCUGA
rnacentral:lncRNA from 1 species